rnacentral:rRNA from 1 species
UACGUAGGGGGCGAGCGUUGUCCGGAGUUACUGGGCGUAAAGCGCUUGUAGGCGGUCCACCAAGUUUGGGGUGACAGUUGCCGACUUAAUCGGCAAAGUGCCUCAAAGACUGGCGGACUUGAGGGCCACAGAGGGACAUGGAACUCCAGGUGUAGUGGUGAAAUGCGUAGAGAUCGGGAAGAACACCCGUGGCGAAGGCGGCCGGCUGGGCCGACCCUGACACUGAGGCGCGAAGGCGUGGGGAGCGAACGGG